rnacentral:rRNA from 1 species
GCUAACCAUGCAAGUCGAACGCUCACCUUCGGGUGGGAGUGGCAGACGGGUGAGUAACACGUGGGAACGUACCCUUUGGUUCGGGACAACUCUGGGAAACUGGAGCUAAUACCGGAUACGCCCUUUUGGGGAAAGGUUUACUGCCGAAGGAUCGGCCCGCGUCUGAUUAGCUAGUUGGUGGGGUAACGGCCUACCAAGGCGACGAUCAGUAGCUGGUCUGAGAGGAUGAUCAGCCACACUGGGACUGAGACACGGCCCAGACUCCUACGGGAGGCAGCAGUGGGGAAUAUUGGACAAUGGGCGCAAGCCUGAUCCAGCCAUGCCGCGUGAGUGAUGAAGGCCUUAGGGUUGUAAAGCUCUUUUAUCCGGGACGAUAAUGACGGUACCGGAGGAAUAAGCCCCGGCUAACUUCGUGCCAGCAGCCGCGGUAAUACGAAGGGGGCUAGCGUUGCUCGGAAUCACUGGGCGUAAAGGGCGCGUAGGCGGCGUUUUAAGUCGGGGGUGAAAGCCUGUGGCUCAACCACAGAAUGGCCUUCGAUACUGGGACGCUUGAGUCUGGUAGAGGUUGGUGGAACUGCGAGUGUAGAGGUGAAAUUCGUAGAUAUUCGCAAGAACACCGGUGGCGAAGGCGGCCAACUGGACCGGCACUGACGCUGAGGCGCGAAAGC